CAUUGGUAAGAAUCUAAUGCCCCGAAAACCUAAGGGUUCCUUCUCAAGGUUUGUCCACGGAGGGUGAGUCAAGGCCUAAGAUCAGGCCGAAGUGCGUAGUCGAUGGACAAUAGGUGAAUAUUCUUGUACUACCCCUUGUUGUUCCUGAGGGAUGAAGGAGGCUAGGUUAGCCGAAAAAUGGUUAUCGGUUCAAGGACGCAGGGUGCUUCUGAUUUUUCAGGGUAAGAAAGGGUAGAGAAAAUACCUCGGUAUACAUAGUUAUCUUUCUAUCUAUGAUUAAUAUUUCUAGUAUCAAUACACAACUUUUUCUUGAAUCAACAAAAAAAAUUAUUAAUAAAAACAUUAACAGUAA
rnacentral:rRNA from 1 species